CUCACCAGGACAGCUACAGCAUCUUCUUACCUCUUAGCUUUGAGGUCUGGAACCGUUCAGUCCGCACUGGGGCAGGCCCAGGGUGUGCUGCUGGAGCUGGCACACCGCCUCUGCUCUGAUAUGGGCUCUGAACUUUUGCCCCAUGGCACUCCACCUUCACUUGUUUCUUGGCAGACCACCACUCUGCUUUUUGCUCCUCUUCGUCCACUCCCUUGCGCUUUCUUGCAGCCACGGUCUUGGAGAAGGAGCGGCAGUCGACUGCAGGGAAAGGUCUUCCCCCUGUGCUGGGACCUGCUGUUCCAGGAAGCCUCCCAGCCUGGAGAGGAGCUUUCAGGUAGAUCCUGCCAUUUGGCCCAGCACCUCUCCCUGUCAAAAUUAAGAAAGGGGAAGCAACAAGAGUUAAAGAGAGCCCAACAACUACCCUCAGUCUGCCAACCAAACCAAACCAAACCAAACCCCAGGGAUUAAGACAUCAAGCAACACGCAGUGACAACAGCCCCAGGAAAGGACAGACAGAAAGCCUAACUAGAAAGACCGUGCACCAAACCCAGAUGCCUGUUGUGUGUCUGUACCUCUCUUCAGUGCUGUGCCACACUUGGUGCUCCUCCCCUGCCUUCCUGCAAGGCGACGCUUCACUGCAAGGCCGCUUGCAUCACCUUCUGACAGAAAAAGGACAAGAAAUACAUAAAGAGCAUCUCUUUGGAGGAAGAUUUUAGCCCAGCAAACCACAAACUUCUCUUCAAGAGCAGUUUCUUCUAGUUGCCCUUCUGCUGCUACAGCGUUGCACCAUUUCUGCAGUCCGCACAGAUCUGCAGUGCCCUUUCCUCUCCCCUCCAUCACACACACCCCUUCAUGCAGCCCUCUUUAGAAGCAGGUACCCACACCACAGCUCAUAAGAGCUUCUUACCUGGGGAGGCUUUCCGUUUCUCCCCUUGCCCAGCACCAUUCCAUGGACACGCAGACUCCAUCCCUACAACGGAUUGUGUGUUGAUUUUGCAGACACCAGCAGACAGCAGAAGUAUUGUCCUGUUAGCCCAUGUCCCCCCA
rnacentral:lncRNA from 1 species